ACGGAAGGCAGCAGUGGGGAAUAUUGCACAAUGGGGGGAACCCUGAUGCAGCGACGCCGCGUGAGUGAUGAAGUAUUUCGGUAUGUAAAGCUCUAUCAGCAGGGAAGAAAAUGACGGUACCUGACUAAGAAGCACCGGCUAAAUACGUGCCAGCAGCCGCGGUAAUACGUAUGGUGCAAGCGUUAUCCGGAUUUACUGGGUGUAAAGGGAGCGCAGACGGCGAUGUAAGUCUGAAGUGAAAGCCCGCGGCUCAACUGCGGGACUGCUUUGGAAACUAUAUUGCUUGAGUGUCGGAGGGGCAAGCGGAAUUCCAUGUGUAGCGGUGAAAUGCGUAGAUAUAUGGAAGAACACCGGUGGCGAAGGCGGCUUGCUGGACGAUAACUGACCUUGAGGCUCGAAGGCGUGGGGAGCAAACAGGAUUAGAUACCCUGGUA
rnacentral:rRNA from 1 species